rnacentral:rRNA from 1 species
UGCCAGCCGCCGCGGUAAUACAGAGGGUGCGAGCGUUAAUCGGAAUUACUGGGCGUAAAGCGUGCGUAGGCGGUUAAUUAAGUCAGAUGUGAAAUCCCUGGGCUCAACCUAGGAAUUGCAUUUGAUACUGGUUAACUUGAGUGUGGGAGAGGGAAGUGGAAUUUCCGGUGUAGCGGUGAAAUGCGUAGAUAUCGGAAGGAACACCAGUGGCGAAGGCGACUUCCUGGACCAUUACUGACGCUGAGGCACGAAAGCGUGGGGAGCAAACAGGAUUAGAUA